UCAGCCGUAAUUGCUGUCGGUAUAAAUAACGGUCGUAAUAACAUAUCGGUUAUCAGUUUACUUCAACUCGAACGAAUUGUGUAAAAAGACAAACAAGAUGAGAUUCACCAUAUUGUGUCUAAUGAUUGUUGUGGUGUUCGCUGCAGCCAUGGCGAUGUCGCCAGAGGUGAUGAAAGCCCAGGAGCUUAUGAGAAAUGCGAAUAAGAUGCUAUCAGAACGUAUGAAGAUGAUGAAGGACAGUGAUAUGAUGAAAAUGUUCCGGAUGCGGAUGGAAGAUCCGAAUGCUGCUACGAAUUAACUGAUUAACUCUACCGUGCGUACGAAAAUUUGUAGAUUUGUAGCGACAGUAGAUAGUUUUUUUUUUGUAGAUUAGUGAAUGCAUUCAGAAAUGACAAAAAAAAUAAAUAAUACAAUACAUUA